UAGGGGGCUAGCGUUGUCCGGAAUCAUUGGGCGUAAAGCGCGUGUAGGCGGCCCGAUAAGUCCGCUGUGAAAGUCCAGGGCUCAACCCUGGGAUGCCGGUGGAUACUGUCGGGCUCGAGUCCGGAAGAGGCGAGUGGAAUUCCUGGUGUAGCGGUGAAAUGCGCAGAUAUCAGGAGGAACACCAAUGGCGAAGGCAGCUCGCUGGGACGUGACUGACGCUGAGACGCGAAAGCGUGGGGAGCAAACAGG
rnacentral:rRNA from 1 species